rnacentral:lncRNA from 1 species
GCGUGAGCUACGCAGAAGACGGGUGAUUUCUGCAUUUCCAUCUGAGAGGACAGGUGACCGCAAAGCAGAAGUGAUGAAGAGCCAGUCACCAUGGCCACAUCUUGAGGUCACACAGUCAGCAGUUCGCUUUGCUCACUCAGUCCUAUAAAACACUGCUGCUUAAAGAAACCAGAUGGCGCCAGAGCUUCUUGACCCCUGACCAGAUGCCAGAGGAAGAUAAGACACCAUAAAACCAGCGCAAAUGGGAACUGGCAAACCCUGGGUGCCUUUAGAUCAUGAACAUAUCAUUAUAAUGCUAAUUUCCCUUCCCUAAAAGAAAAUCUCUGCCAUUUUGUGUACAUAUGAUAUAUGAAGAUGCAUGUUUAUGAAUUGGGCCUGCGUGUCUGGAGUCCCACCCUGCACAUACUAACAUUCCUUUCCUGCCCCAUAGGAAUAAAGGCAAUAAACCCCUUGCCUUUUAUUCUUCAAGAAAAGAUGCUUUCAGAGGAAGAGCUCACCUUCUCCAUUCCCUGGCAAAUGAAUAAAACCUGAUUGCCUUUUUCAAUGGGAUAUUCUUUGUUUGUGACUGAUACACAGUGGGGAAAAAACUCAUUUUAUCAGGGACACUUUGGGAGACCCAGGCCAGAGGAUUGGUUGAG